GUUUGUUGUUCAGGAGCGGAUUGACAAGAUUAAUACGACAUCUGAAUCCCAUGUCCAGGAUCCGUCUGUGUGUUGUGGCUCUUGAUGCACUGACUCCAGCCUCAGUCCACUCCUUGUGAAAGUCCCUAACACUUUCGAAUGGCCUUUUCCUGACAAUCCUCUCCAAGCUGCGGUCAUCCCUGCUGUUUGUGCACCUUUUUCUUCCAAACUUUUUACUUCCGCAUAACUUUCUAUGAAUGUGCUUUGAUACAGUACUUUGGGAACAGC
rnacentral:lncRNA from 1 species